GGGCCGUUAGCUCAGUUGGUAGAGCAGCUGACUCUUAAUCAGCGGGUCGUAGGUUCGAGACCUACACGGCCUACCA
rnacentral:tRNA from 1 species